rnacentral:rRNA from 1 species
AAAGGAUAGAAGCUGAAUCCCGAGUAGUACGGGGCACGAGAAAUCCCGUAUGAAUCAGCGAGGACCAUCUCGUAAGGCUAAAUACUACUGUGUGACCGAUAGAGAACAAGUACCGCGAGGGAAAGGUGAAAAGAACCCCGGGAGGGGAGUGAAAAAGAACAUGAAACCGUGAGCUUACAAGCAGUGGGAGUCCGAUUAAACGGAUGACCGCGUGCCUGUUGAAGAAUGAGCCGGCGACUUAUAGGUACUGGUAGGUUAAAGCGGGAAUGCUGGAGCCAAAGGGAAACCGAGUCUGAAAAGGGCGAUAAUCAGUAUUUAUAGACCCGAACCCUGGUGAUCUAACCAUGGCCAGGAUGAAGCUUGGGUAAAACCAAGUGGAGGUCCGAACCGACCGAUGUUGAAAAAUCGGCGGAUGAGCGGUGGUUAGGGGUGAAAUGCCAAUCGAACCAGGAGCUAGCUGGUUCUCCCC